CACACUGAUUAGAGGAUGUGGUGACAGGACUCACAGCCACUUAAAUAGUUGCAUUUUGGAAAUGAGCAAAGGCAUGAGAGGUGAAUUACAACACAGGCGUACAUCACACAGAAGGAUGGGUGAGCCUCAUUCAUACAAACGACUAGAAAAGAAUGUAGACUGAACCACCAUCUCACAGGACCUGCUUGGCACCCAAGAGCUCACAGCUGAAAUGGUUGCAAGUUCAAUAAAACAAGAUUCUGCAAUCAAAUAUCAGUACAAAUGAAUAUCAAAACAAACGAAAGGCAUCCUUGAAGAAGAUGAAUCGUGAGGCAACAUUGAGGGCUUCUAUGAUUUCCGUACUGAGAACACAUGAUGCAGUGACUGACACAGCAACAACUUUUGGAAUUCCACGAACUACACUUUGCAAAGUGAAGUCAGUCACAAACAACAUCAUCUCUCUUUGAUUUACAGGAACACUGUGUUUUGUCUAUGAUUUA